AACGAACGCUGGCGGCAUGCCUAACACAUGCAAGUCGAACGAAGUCUUCGGACUUAGUGGCGCACGGGUGCGUAACGCGUGGGAAUCUGCCCUUGGGUACGGAAUAACUUAGAGAAAUUUGUGCUAAUACCGGAUGAUGUCUUCGGACCAAAGAUUUAUCGCCAAGGAUGAGCCCGCGUAGGAUUAGGUAGUUGGUGGGGUAAUGGCCCACCAAGCCGACGAUCCUUAGCUGGUCUGAGAGGAUGAUCAGCCACACUGGGACUGAGACACGGCCCAGACUCCUACGGGAGGCAGCAGUGGGGAAUAUUGGACAAUGGGCGAAAGCCUGAUCCAGCAAUGCCGCGUGAGUGAUGAAGGCCUUAGGGUUGUAAAGCUCUUUUACCAGGGAUGAUAAUGACAGUACCUGGAGAAUAAGCUCCGGCUAACUCCGUGCCAGCAGCCGCCGUAAGAC
rnacentral:rRNA from 1 species